GAUGAACGCUGGCGGCGUGCCUAAUACAUGCAAGUCGAGCGAACAGACGAGGAGCUUGCUCCUCUGACGUUAGCGGCGGACGGGUGAGUAACACGUGGAUAACCUACCUAUAAUACUGGGAUAACUUCGGGAAACCGGAGCUAAUACCGGAUAAUAUAUUGAACCGCAGGGUUCAAUGGUGAAAGACGGUUUUGCUGUCACUUAUAGAUGGAUCCGCGCCGCAUUAGCUAGUUGGUAAGGUAACGGCUUACCAAGGCUACGAUGCGUAGCCGAACUGAGAGAGUGAUCGCCCACAUUGGAACGGAGACACGGUCCAGAGUCCUACGGGAGGCAGCAGUAGGGAAUCUUCGGCAAUGGGCGAAAGCUUGACGGAGCAACGCCGCGUGAGUGAUGAAGGCCUUCGGAUCGUAAAACUCUGUUAUUAGGGAAGAACAAAUGUGUACGUAACUAUGCACGUCUUGACGGUACCUAAUCAGAAAGCCCCGGCUAACUACGUG
rnacentral:rRNA from 1 species